rnacentral:lncRNA from 1 species
CUGGGGAUCCACUUCCAAGAACGCUGACUCCCAUGACCGGCCAAUUGAUGCUGGCUGUCAGCUGGGAGAUCACCCAGGCCUGGCAGUCAGAGCCCUUGGCUCCUCUCCAGUGCACCUUCCCACAGGGCUGCUAAAGUUCCCCGAAAGUCUGGCAACUGAGUUCCAAGAGACCUCAGUAGAAGCUGGAAGUCUUCUUUUAACAAAGCCUUCAGUCCCAGAGUGUCACUUCCACUGCAUUCUACUAGUGAUGCGUGUCGCAAAAGCCAGUGUCCUGUUAUGUUGCCAAGACUGGACUCAAAACUACUGGGCUCAAGUGAUCCUUCUGCCUCAGCCUCCUGAGUCACUGGGACUACAAGCACAAACCACCAAGUCCAGGAAGAGGGAUUGCUUUCAGAUCCUUCCCCAGAGCCUAGUCUGAAGCUUCUGUUAUCUAAGAAGUCAGCACCAAAAGAGCCAUCUUUCCAAGGAAACACAAACCAACCUGUUGCUUUGUUAAUGUUAUUUAUUGUUGUCUUCCCUUCUUUAGAUAUUCACUCCUUUAGGAAUGAAAUCUUACCUCUAUGAUUCACCCUUAUAACUCAGCUAGGGCAUGCCUUGAAUACAAGAGGUCAAUAAAUAUUGUUGAAUGAAUGAAUGUAUAUAUGACUUAACACUAGAAUGUACAGUAAAUGAUGAAUACAGCACUGUUCAAGUUGAAUAUACAUUGAAUUCAAUUUUAUAUAAAGUUGUACACUAAAUGCUGAGAAAAACACAACUAUGAAGAUUAACCACAGCUCUUACUCUUUAGGCAUAGAUGGUCU